GUGCUCGCUUGGGCAGCACAUAUACUACAACUGGAACAGUACAGAGAAGAUUAGCAUGUCCCCUGCGCAAGGAUGACAGGCAAAUUCAUGAAGAAAUAUUUU